AAACAUACAAGAGGGUUCAGAAGAAUACCUAGCCAAAGAAAAUAGCCUAAGGAACAAAACAAGCUGCAAUUUCUAGCUCAGCUCAAACAAAACCUACAGUGAAUCAACCCAGGAUCCUUUCCCAAUCUCUGAAACCCAACCAAGAAAGGACCUCCAAAUAGAAAGAACUUAAAAAAUUUCUUCAGAAAACCUUUUGGAGAAUAUUUUUAGCCAUUUCCUAUUUUUCUCACUCUUUUUUAUGUGCCCUAAUCAUUUUUAUAGAAGGGAUAUUAGGGCAACCAAAUCAGUUCUUGUAAUUAAAAAGUGACCCUUAAGUUUAUGAUUUUAUUAACUUAAAACCCCUUCGCCCCAGGAUGAUCCUUCCAGCUCUUUUAUAGAAUAUUCCUAUAAGUUUAUUCAAAUCCUGUCAAAUUCCAAAACCAAGAGCCUUGUACUUACCCCCUUCCCCCAUUU
rnacentral:lncRNA from 1 species